UGGAUGAUGUGGAUUAAUUCGAUGCAACGCGAAAACCUUACCUACCCUUGACAUGUCCGGAAUCCUGCAGAGAUGCGGGAGUGCCGAAAGGGAAUCGGAACACAGGUGCUGCAUGGCUGUCGUCAGCUCGUGUCGUGAGAUGUUGGGUUAAGUCCCGCAACGAGCGCAACCCUUAUCAUUAGUUGCUACGCAAGGGCACUCUAAUGAGACUGCCGGUGACAAACCGGAGGAAGGUGGGGAUGACGUCAAGUCCUCAUGGCCCUUAUGGGUAGGGCUUCACACGUCAUACAAUGGUCGGUACAGAGGGUUGCCAAGCCGCGAGGUGGAGCCAAUCCCACAAAGCCGAUCGUAGUCCGGAUUGUUCUCUGCAACUCGAGAGCAUGAAGUCGGAAUCGCUAGUAAUCGCAGGUCAGCAUACUGCGGUGAAUACGUUCCCGGGUCUU
rnacentral:rRNA from 1 species